UUUUCAAGGGCCAUCCAUGUUGUAGCAUGUAAUUAAUACUUCAUUCCUUGUAAUGGCUGAAUAAUAUUUCAUUUGAUGGAUAUACCAUAUUUUAUCAGUUUAUCAGGUGAUGGGACAUUUCAGUUGUUUACACUUUUUGGCUAGUGGGAAUAAUGCUGCUGUUAGCAUUUAUGUACAAGUUUUUGUGUGAACAUAUGUUUUUAUUUCUUUUUUUAACAUAUUGUUGAAGUUUUCAUUUUUUCCUCUCUGUUUUCCUCCUUUUUUCUCAGAUCUUUCUUCCUCUAUUUUUUUUUUUUUUUGAAAUGGAGUCUCACUCUGUUGUCCAUGCUGGAGUGCAGUGGCNNNNNNNNNNAGGCUGGUCUCAAACUCCUGACCUCAAGUGAUCUGCCUGCCUUGGCCUCCCAAAGUGGUGGGAUUACAGGUGUGAGCCACUGCUCCUAGCUCUUUUCCUGUUAUACCUCUUUUCUUUCCUUUAGUUUUUUAAAAAAUUACAU
rnacentral:lncRNA from 1 species